rnacentral:lncRNA from 10 species
AUCAACGAUCCUCAUGAAUACAUCAGCUUUCCAUGAGAGUCCUGAAAGUUAUUUUUUCUAUUUUAAUGGCAGUCUGUCUCUAAAGUGAUCAGAAACCUGUAUUUAAGAGUACUCCUCAGAUAUCUAUAGAUGAUUAUAAGCUGCCCUAUAAAAGGAUCAAAGUGAAACAACAAUUAUGGAUCAUAAAAAUUAUAGAACAUCCAUGGUUGAAGACACAGUUAACAAAGAAAUCUGAUUACUUCUGUGGCAUAUAACAAUUUUACAUGGCAAUCAUAAUUACUUCUGAAAAAAUAUACUAAGAUGUAUCACAAUCAUAGGAAUAUCACACGAUUUUGAAACACAUACUACUAAUGCAUUCAUAUAACUUUAAUUCAAAGAUGAUUAAACAACAUUUCAUAUUUGAAAAUGCCUCCUAUAUGAUUUUAUUACACUAAGUGAACCAAACAUGUCUCUUUUGGACUUAAGGGGACAUGAUAUUAAAAAAAAAAAUUAAUGAAGUCUAAAGGACAAACUUCGGAAUUUGAUUUGAAAAUUUAUCAGGUAUAAAAAUUUUAAAACACUGAUAUCACAAAAUAGGAUCACAGGUCAUUGUAAAAUAAGUCAUUCAUUUAGCCAAAGUGAUAACCCAAAGAGUUCACAAAAAAAGUCUAAAACCUUUAUUCUUUGAGUAGACUUAAUUUUUCAAACAGUAAGUCCUAAUAAAGACAGCAUGAGGCCAAUUAAUUUUGUCUCUCAAAUGUUAUAAACAAAGCUAUUAAAUUUUAAUCAUCUUGACCACAAGAUAUAAUUUCCAUGAAUGUCUCUAUAACCUUUUAUGAUAUUUUUUAAGUUGGUUAAUGCUCCAAGAAAAUCUUGUUAAUCUGACACAGGGGCCCAGAUGCUUGUCUUGUUUCAUUGUGCCUUUGAUAUUAAUGUUUAAUUUAUAGAGAAAAUCCAAACUAAUUUUCUGUCUCAAAAUUAGCCCUUAUAGUCUCCUGUGCCUGUCUCUUCCAUGAUAAUCCCUGGGCCUGGAGGGGUUGAAUAGUUUCAACUUCUGGCCCUGUGUCUCAUGAAAGCAGUUUAUUUUGAUUGUCAUCUUCACCUGGGUUUGAAGAUGAGGCUUUAACUGCUGCCAGUGUUUAAUAUUUAGCAGGAGUCGGUGUCCUAUUUAGACAUAGGAGUCAAAGCCCUGCAACUUAACAGCAUAAGCACUUUAAAAGCAAUAAAGAAAGUUACAGAGAUGUAAAAAACUUAAUUAAAAAAAUUAAUCUCGUUUUUCUUAAGCAAACCAAAAGUUAGUAACAAUGUCAUAGGAUUAUUUUAAUAAAAAAUAAAACUGUGUUUAGUCUAGUUACCAAAAAGAAAAAAAAAAAAAAAGAGCCUCUGUAGUGUGAUUGUUUUUCCCUAUGGGGAGCCUAUUUAGACAUAAGAAGAGUGUGUCCUUGGUCAUAAGUGAAAAUUUUCAGUUUCAAGGAACUUUUUUUUUUGAGACAGAAUCUGGCUCUAUCACCCAGGCUGAAGUGCAGUGGUGUGAUCUCUGCUCACUGUAACUUCCACCUCCUGGGUUGAAGCGAUUCUCCUCAGCCUCUUGAGUAGCUGGGAAUACAUGCAAGCACCACCAUACCUGGCUAAUUUUUGUAUUUUCAGUAAAGGUGGGGUUUUAACAUGUUGGCCAGGCUGGUGUCAAAUUCCUGGCCUCAAAUGAUCCGCCUGCCUCAGCUGCAAAAAUUGCUGGGAUUACAGGCGUGAACCACCUCACCCAGCCUCAAGGAACAAUUUAAAGCCAAGAGCACAGAAUAUUACAUAGGAACAAAACAUUUCUUUAGAUCUUUAUGAUAAACAUUUUUAGCAUCAGGCCACAACAGCAAUUAGAACCUGUGGGAAAAAAAAAAAAUUACUGUAUCUGAUGAGAAAGUUGAAAGAGAGUUAUCUCAGGCCUUGUUUUCAAAGGUUAAGUGUGCAAGUGUCAAAUAUGUGUAUUAGACAAAGGAAGAAUCUUGUGGCAAAGAUUAUAGAAAAGAAAUAAAAUAUGCUAACAACACUGUACCCCAAGCUGUCUCACCAUGGUGAAAGAAAUUAAACCUUGUAUUUAAACUUUAUGAGAGGGAUUGCUGCUCUUGCCACAUCUGUAGCAGUUAACAGGUGAAUCUUAGAAAUUCUGGGGUUUGUGGGCUUACAUCCUGGCUAUUAAAGCUUCUCCCUCCUUUUUGUGUCAGAAAAACUAAGGUGGCCACUUUCAGGAGUUUCUCUAAGGUACUAUCUUGUCCCAGGGUCCAUUUCUGAGUAUAAACUGGACGUGGUGAAGUUUGUGGGUUGCUCAUUCUGAAGGACAGGGAAUUAGGUGCUCCUCAAUUUCCUUCUUUCUUUCAGCAAUAACCUGGGCUGUGAGGGAGAGAGGAAGUGGGAGUCCUGCCUUUCCUUUCUGUCUUCAUGUCCUGCAGUCCUGGCGACCUUAGCAGGUGCCACCCAUGGUUGCGAAUGCAGCUUGCACCCAUGAAGCAGGGAGGGCCUAGAGAAAAGGAAUUAUCCACACUCACCUAUGCCUCUACCUCCCCUACUGUUGACAACCUUUGAGUUCCCUGGGCCUCAUUUAUGCUAUGGAACAUGCCCUCCCUCCCUGAUGCAGGGGUUUAAUUGUCAGGAAUUGGCCUUGCCCAUUUACACUGUGCUUGUUGCCUGGCUUUGGAUCUCUCAGAUCUGUUUUUCCUCUCCAGGCCCUCAAGCUAAAUCUUGGAACUGAGUUUGAGACAGAAAAAAGGCAUUUCAGGGGCUGCAUGGAUUCAUUUAGAUUAAGUCCCAGAUGGGCUUUUCCAAAUUAAUGAGUAACAGCCAGCAGGGGUUGCUCCUCUGUUGCCUCCCUAUCACAAGCAGAUUGCUGAGGUAUGAAGAGAAUCCUCUUGCUUAGAAAAGAAAGCUUAAAGUGCUUAAGGUCGGGGUAGGGGACCUGGGAGAAGAAAAAGCCUCUUGCUCUGUGCAAAUGGUUUUUUUUAAUCACUGUAUCCCUCCCACGGUUCAGACCGGCUAGACUUCCAUGAAGGAGAACAGAACCAACAUUCCUUUUACCCAAAAGAAAGAGAGAGGUGGCAGUUUAUUGGAAGAGAGACAGAUUCAACAGUUCCACAUUUUAACUUACCCUUUCUCGUAUCCCAUAUGGGCCCCCAGAUGAGACAGGAUUGUUCCCUUGACCCUAACCCCCUUCAUGGGUGGGAAAUGUAGUGACUCAUUUCACUCAGCUCGCUCUGCUCUUGGCCACUUCUCACAAAAGGGAGUAUGCAAGCGAGUGCAGGAACCAGAGGGAAUGAAUGCUGGAACCGGCUGGUCACUCCUCUCUGGGGGGAGAAACGUCCAAGCCCCUGCCCUCUCAGUACCUGGGUUCUUGUCUGGCAUCCAAGAAAAAUCAGGUCACAUGAAUGAAUUGAAGGAUAGUGUAUGUGGAGGAUUUUUAUUGGGCAAUAAAAGUAGCUCUUAGCAGGUUUCUAGUUGGAAAGGAGAUUAUGAGGGAAGGUGAUCUUUCCCUGAAGCUGCACCGUCUGAAGUUAGCUGUGUCUACCUGUCUAUCCAUAGUCUCUGACACUCAGCAGCUUGUAUCCCCAAUGCUCAACAGCUUGUAUCUCCGACUGCUUGCAUCAGCCAGCCACUUGUGUUGCUCUGCCAGCUGAAGUCUUUUUAUGGGCAUAUUAAACAAUUCAGUUGACUGAGAAUAAAAAAAAAAAAUUUCUCAAAAACUAAAAUCCCAGGAAAGAAAAAUAAGGAUAAAUUUCUUUUAAAUAUAUAUAGUAUGUAUAUACAUAUAUUUACAUAUAUAUGUAUAUUUAUUAAAUAAAUGGUUAAAUAUAUGGGUUAUAUUGUUGUGCCACACUUUGAGAUGAAUUAAGAGUCCUUUAUUAGCCGGUGACCGAGAGACAGCUAACGCUCAAAAUUCUCUCAGCCCCGAGGAAGGGGCUUGAUUAACUUUUAUAUCCUGGUUUAGGAAGGGGAGGGGGGGUUUAGUUAAAACAAUUUUACCAAAGUUAAGUAGUCAAAAAGUUAAAAGGAUAAAUGGUUACAGGAAAGUAAACAGUUCCAGGUGCAGGGGCUUUAAGGCUAUUACAAGGUGAUAGACGUGGGGCUUUGGGUGUUAUUAAUCAGACGAAUUCUUGGGGACUGUGGAUAUAGUUUGCCACAGUAUCUUAUCAGUUAAUUGCAUUCUUGGAUAUGCUGGGAGUCAGCUUGCACAAGUUAAGUCCUUGAGGAAGGGGCUGCCAGUGAAAGAGCCAAGAUGGAGUUUGUCUGGUUCUCUUAGCCAAGGGAGAAACAAGGCCAGGUGAAUAAGGAAAAAACAAGGUUGGGUAUUACAUUCCCCACUUGUGUUUUUGGGGAAUCAAAUCAUUGAUUCCUCAGUUAUGACAAGGGGGUUACACUGAGUCCUAAGAUACUUAAGUUUGACAGAAGCUAUGCGCUGUUUUAUAAAAUUAAGAAACCAAUUUAAUAUACAAGGACCGAAGAUUAAACUUAAUAGUAUGAUGAGGAGAGGUCCAGCUAACUCAGUGAUUAAAGUAGUUAGCCAGGGGUUCCAGUUGAACAUGCUUUGAUAGCAGGGGAUGUUAUUUUCUCGUUCUUGUUGGCGCCUAUCUAGAUUUUCUCAAACUUUUUGGAGCGUAUCUUUUAUGACUCCAGAUUGAUUGGCAUAGAAGCAACAGCUUUCUCCUAGAGCUGUACAUAAUCCUCCUUGAGAGAGGAAUAGCAGGUCUAAGCCUCAGCGGUUUUGAAGUACUACUUCAGCCAGAGACUCUACCUGGGAAUGUAGUAUAUCUAUGGCAGAGUGGAGGUUACUUAAAUCAGCAUCCACCUGUUGAGACAAAGACAUUAGUCCAGUUUCUUCUUGAACCAGGGCAGCCAUACCAAUGGCUGCUGACCCAGCUAUGCUAAGACCAGCCAAGAGGGGAACCAGUAGUGGGGCAGCUCGGCGCAACCUGGGAUGUAAUUCCGGGGGAGCGAUGAGGAGUUGUCCUUCUGGUCCACGGUACACGUAUACUUGGGGAAGAACAUGAACUAACAUACACAAGAGACGUCCUGGUUCAGUUCUAUUAAUGCAGCGAGUGAGACCUGAGGUUCAGGCCAACCAGGUAUUGAUAGGCGCUUGGUAAGAGACUGAGGUACUUGUGGAAGUAAGUAGGGACUGAUUACACAUAGCCUGGAAAGGAGAAGCAGACAAGUUAUACCUGGUACUAAUCAGACAGGAAGCGUUUCCAGACACAUCUCCUAGUGUGAGAGCACAGGGUCGUGUAUGACAGGAUAGAGGGCCACGUUUAAGAGUGGCUUCUACUCCUAACCCUACAUAAUAAGGGGGUUUUACUUUUAAACAUAGCCAACAAUCUUGGGCUAGUUUAGGCUGGAUGAGGUUAAGGAAAUGAUGUACUCCACCUAGUAUAGACAUUAGGCUGGGUUGAAGAUGAUGUCCUUGUAGCCGGGGCUUAGAAACUAAGAAUGGUAGAGGAACAGUUAAAUCAACUUUGUCAGGGUGUUUCUGGAACAUAGGGUCACCUAGAUCAGUUAAAGGCCCGAUUGGCUUAGGUGGGCUCCAUGAGACCAAAAUUUUCUUUUGGAUGGUGAACAUAGUUCCAACAUCGAAUCCUGAGAUAUAAAGUCUUAAUCCCCAUGACAUGCCAUAAUACCAUUGAGCUGAAUUAGGGUCAUGGGCAGUUAUAGUUAAGAGGAUUACAAUUCUUUUCAGUACAUGAUUUAGGAUGAGAAGCACGAGUUAUGGAAUUAAUAUCUGGCUGAUCCCCCAGAGUAGGUGGCUAAAGUUACACAUGUCCAAUCAGAGCAGAAAAACUGAUAAGUAUCUUGACAGCUAGCAUUAGGGUGAUUUCCAGGACAGAGGUAACAGUCAACAUUUUGGAGUCCUUUUUUUUGCACCUUUGGAGCUUCCACAUUUAGUUUGGCUCCCAGAGCGUCCAAAUCUUGCUGCAAGGUCGACACUUUUUGCUUCUGGGACCAGCAGAUUGUGUUGCUCUUCAUGGGUAUGGGCUGGCUCUGGGAACAGUGCACAAAAAUCAACUGCAAAGGAAACUUCCUUGAAGGUACCAGCCCUCCAAGUGGUGUUUGCAAAUACAUGUCCUGUUAUGAAAGAGGUGAGGAGAAAGGAGUAGGAAUGCGCAGAGGACAUAACAGGCAAAAACAAACAAGUGAGGUAGAUAAAAAGAAUUAAUCUAAUGGCUUCACCUAACUUAGGUGCAGUUUUAAAGGGGCCUGACCUAGGCCUGGGGACCUAUGUUUUUAGUUGGGCUCUGUUGGCCUUUUUGAUGCGGGAGUGAUGAAUCAGGAGUGAGUCCUUCUUACUGGAACUUUUUAACAAACAUUAGGUCUACUGGCUGGAAUGAAUGGCAAGGCCCUGUCUGUUUAGGAAUUGGAUUGGGAUGGGCUCCUCAAACAAGUGGCAGAAUGAUAUCUUGUACCUGUUGGAGAGACUGUAGAUACUGCAAUAAAUUAGCUUGUGAUAUUUCUGCCAAAUGGACAUCUCUUAGCUUAGGCAAGAUAGGCGGUGCCCGUCCAUACAUGAUUUCAAAAGGCGAGAACCCAGCCCGAUAAGGGGUGCAUCUUACUCUAAGUAGGGCUAAAAGGAAGGAGACUUACCCAAUUUUCACCAGUUUUUAAGAUUAAUUUUGUAAGAGUGUUUUAGGGUGCAGUUCAUGCGUUCUACCUGCCCAAAGCUCUGGGGUCGAUAGGCACAAUGGAGCUUCCACUGAAUGUUUAACACCUUACUGACCGACUGAGCUAUGGACGAGGUGAAGGCAGGUCCAUUAUCAGACCCUAUGGCAGCAGGCAGCCCGUGUCAAGGGAUGAUUUCAUUGAAUAAAAACUUAACCACCUUGCUGGCAGUUUCAUUUUUGGUAGCAAAUGCCUCAGCCCAUCUGGAGAAGGUGUCUACUAGUUACUAGAAGGUAUCUGUACCCAGCCCGGUGUGGUUUUACUUCUGUAAAGUCAAUUUCCCACUUUUCUCCUGGUGAGUUUCCUCAGAGACGGUGACCUGGGCUGGGUUGAGGACCUUGCUUGGCAUUUACCUGGGCUCAGGUUGUGUACCGGAAAACUGCUUGAUCUGUUAGGCUUUGAAGAUGGGAGAUUCUUCUUUGUUUUUGAUAGCCUUUUCUGCUGAGGUGAGUAGCCUGCGCUCCUGGUAGAUGUGUCCAUGUACAUGCACAGUAGCAAAGGUGUACCUGCUGUCAGUGUAAACGUUAAUACGUUUAUCCUUACCCCAUCGGAGACCCUGAGUGAGGGUGAUCAAUUCAGCUUUUUGCGCUAAGGUGUUUGCUGGUAAAGCCUGAGUCCACAACACAUCUGUCUCCGUGGUAACAGCUGCACCCGCCUUUCGUACUCCCUGAUCGAGAAAGCUGCCACCAUCUGUGAACACAGUGGCAUCCGCCUUCUCAAGGGGCACAUCUUAAAGAUCUGGCUGGCCAGUUUUGGUAGUUUCCAACAGUUCCUGACAGUCAUGGACAGGAAUAUUGGAAUCUGGAUCUGGGAGUAGGGUAGCAGGAUUUAAACACCUUGUGGGAGAGAAAGUCAAACGAGGCUGAUUCAACAGUAAACUCUGAUAUUGUAAAAUGCCAGCAUUUGACAUCCAUUUACCUGAAGCACUUCAAAAUAAAGUCUCUACAGCAUGAGGAGCUGUAAGGGUUAAAUCCUGGCCCAGAGUUAACUUAUCAGUUUCUUGGACUAGAAUUGCUGUAGCCGCUACAGCUCGAAGACAACUUGGCCAUCCGGAGGCCACAGGAUCCAGUCUCUUAGAUAAAUAGGCUACCGGGUAUCUCCAGGGUUCUAAAGUCUGAGUCUCAAGCCUUUUAAGCAACUCCCUGGCUUUCAUGGACAAACAGGUGAAACAGCUUUGAGAUAUUAGGGAGGGCUAAAGGAAGGGCUUCAGUUAAUGCCUUUUUCAGGUUUUGAAAAGUCUGUUCUUCUGUGUCUGUCCAAAUUAACAGGCCAUUUCAUUCUGUACCUCUUGGAUAGCUGCCAUUAGAUUUUUGCUUGUCUUUUAUAUGCUUUAUCGGUGGCUUUUUCAGCUGCCUGUGUUGCUUGUUUCUGUUUUUUAUACUCUUGAUUGUCAAAAACCUUUUGGGCUAUUUCUAGAAGCUGACUGAUAUUUAUCCCAGCAAAUCCCUCCAGUUUUUGGAGUUUUCUCCUCACAUCUGGGGCUGCCUGAGCCACAAAUGCCAAAUUAAGAGCACGGCUAUUUUCAGGGGACGCUGGGUCAAAAGGGGUGUAAAUCCGGUAAGCCUCCUGGAGGCACUCUAAAAACGCUCCUAGUGACUCUUCGGGAACCUGGACGACUUCAGUCGCCUUAGACAAGUUUAUGGGUUUCCGAGAGGCUCCCUUAAUACCCAUGAGGAGAUACCGGUGAAAAUUGUCCAAAGCUGUCCUUCCACUUGAGGAAUUUGGGUCCCAGUUAGGCCGGGUAGAGGGAAAGGCCUCCUCAAGGAGGUCUCUACCUUCCUCCUCAGGCCUACCGGCUGAUGCAAGGAAGUGCUUUCUGGCCUCUUUUCGGAUACGCUCCCUCUCCUCAGAGGUAAAGAGAGUUAAAAGGAGCUGUUGGCAGUCUUGCCAGGUGGGCCGAUGGGUCCGGAGUACGGACUCCAUCAGUGAGGUCAAAGCCUGGGGCUUUUCAGAGAAGGGAGGAUUAUGGGUUUUCCAAUUAUACAAGUUAGAAGUAGAAAAAGGGAAAUAAACCAAGAAGGGGGCUGAGUGCUCAUCACCCGGAGGGACUUGUGCCUCUCUCAGUGGUAGUAGAGGGGCUGCUUCCUCCCGCAACGGUCGCAGCUGGGAGGCAAUGGGCGGCGACCCCACAGAGGACGUCGUUGAAGAGACAUGGGAUGACGCUAGAGGAGCAGGUUGGUUGUAAGGCGGCGGAACUGGGUGAGGGAAACUCUCCUCUUCUUCAGAGGAGGGCAGUACAGGUGGUGCCGAACUGGCUGAGGGUCGAGGCGAAAACGUAGCCUGGCUCAGGAGGACUUUGGAGGUGGAAUUGUGAAUGGCGCAUGAAUGGAGCCAUGGAGGAGGAUUCUUGACCAAACUUAACCAUUGAUCUACAUAGGGAAACUGAUCAGGGUGGCUGGGAGCUUCAGUAACAACCUGCCACAUGGCUUGAGCAAUUACAGGAUUCAACGACCCUUAAGAGGGCCACCUAACUCUAAACUGGCCAUUUUACUUCACAGAGUGUCCAGAGUUUGCCUUUCUUAAGGCAGACUCCCUAAUCCUCUGAGAAACCAAGAGAAAAAUUUUUCAGCAUACACUGGAGGGGGCUCCAACCCUUGCAAGGCUGGGAGGAAGUGUUUCCUAUUUUAUUAUUAUUAUUAUUAUUAUUAUUUAAAGGCAAUUUAGCAAAGUCUUAAGUAGAGAUAUCAGAUCUAACAUGGGCAGAGAAACUCUUUCCCUGGGGGGCUGGAGUGUUGGAAAAACAGAAUUAACAUGAUCAGGAAGAACAGAAAAACCACAACAGCUAAUACAACUUGCCACAUUGCUGUAGCUUUAAGAUUGAGGGAGGGGGACUAGACGCCAGCCUGAGGUCUCCUGGGCUGGUUCAAUCUAGGUAUUCUCCCUCUUCUUUUUCCUCUAGACCUAUAUCCUAAAUAUUUUUGAUGUCUCCAUGAUUCAAAGGCAAACAGUUCAAAUUCAGCUCUUUCUUUUAAGGGUUCAAGGAGUGAGAGCAGAGCCAAGUCUUGGAGACGCUGAACUUGCUGUCGCACUGGAAAAAGAGAUGUACGGGGUAGGGGGGCAGGGACGAGGAGGUGGAAAAUGAGAUGUGCGGGGUAGGGGGCAGGGACGAGGAGGAAAGGGACCACUCGGGUAGUUUUUAAGAUGAGAGAGUAUCCGCAGGGGAACAGAGUAGGAAUUUAAAUGAAGUAAACAGUAGGGGCAUAGGUUUCCCUACACAAGGUCCUAUUUAAGGGCAUGGGGAAGGUUACAGAAUGACAGAAGAGAUAGGCAAGUAGGUCUACAGGGUGGCUGUUUUGAACCCACCACCAGUUUAGUUCAGAAGAAGUCCAAUCACUAGGACGUGGGGUAUGACAGUCUAAAUACCAGCCAACCUUCAUGGUGCCAGAAAUCCCAAUCAGACAUAUGUUCUUUACAUUUGUUCCCGUAACAACACCUGACUUGCUUCUGGCAGAAAAGACAGGACUGUGGUGGCCAGCCUAAACAACUGAUGAGAAAUUUAACAUCUUGUGACAAAAAAUCAGCACUAAGGACCCUGAAGAAGUUUUUACCCAGACGUCUUGGGCAAUAUCGACGUUCUGACAUGCAAAACCUUAACAAAUACUAAACAAGACAAUGAACACUGAACAGAGCAAUAAAACAUAAAGCAAACAAUUCCACCCUAGGGCAUGUAAACAGUUAUGACAGUUUUCCUUUUUUUUUUUUUUUUUUUUUUAGACAGACAAGGGAAGGGGGUCCCGUGAUGGGAUCAUUCAGAUGUCCGCCUGGCCGCUCCCCCUGAGGGGACUUGGGCUCCUCUUAGCAUUGGCAGGCCGGUAUAAACCCCCGGCUUGGAUCGAGCUAUGCCCGAUGCUGCCUUAAGCCUUAUGAGGUAGCCAUGGAACCCCAGUUGAGGGCCCACUCGAACUCUGUAGCUUUCGCCGUGGAGCUACAAACUGGAAGACAAAUGCAAGCCUUUGUCCUCCCACAUUUACACACCAUUUAUACAGAGUUUAUAACAGUUUUUUUUUCUUUCCCGGAGAUUCUCCAAGAAACCUGAACAAAAGAAGGAUGGAAGAUAGAAAAGAGAGAGAGAGAGAGAGAGACCGGUCUGACAGAAACCAAGUCUCAGCUCCCCAGCGUCUGGGUCUUAAGCUAAGUCCAAAAGUGGGAGGGUCCUCUUCAGGACCCCUUCCCACCCAAACCAAGACACAAAGGCGCCUAUCAGAAAACCAAGGCUCAACCCACUAGUGUCCUAGAGUAACGGGCUGAGUCAAAAGAGGGACGCCCUCUUCAGAGCUGCUUCCCUCUUACCAGAACCUGAAGGAAGUCAAAUCUGACCUACCUGACCCUGGGGUCAGAAGCUGAGGACUCAGAUGCUGAAUUUUAGGUCACUCACACGGUAGUCGAUCUGCUCUCCUCUGGAAGACGGUCACUCUUCGGGGACCUGAAAAUUGUUUCCUCAGGUGGCGCCCCGCCUCCGAGCCGGCCGUCCUUCCGGGGGAGCCUGGAGCGAGACCGGAUCUCACACGGUGGUGUUAAUAUCUCGCUGGGGCCUCCAAAAUGUUGUGCCCAGGGGUGUUAGAGAAAACACCACACUUUGAGAUGAAUUAAGAGUCCUUUAUUAGCCGGCGACCGAGAGACCGCUAACACUCAAAAUUCUCUCCGCCCGAGGAAGGGGCUUGAUUAACUUUUAUAUCUUGGUUUAGGAAGGGGAGGGGGGGUUUAGUUAAAACAAUUUUACAGAAGCUAAGUAGUCAAAAAGUUAAAAGGAUAAAUGGUUACAGGAAAGUAAACAGUUCCAGGUGCAGGGGCUUUAAGACUAUUACAAGGUGAUAGAGGCGGGGCUUUGGGCAUUAUCAAUCAGACGAAUUCUUGAGGACUGCAGAUAUAGCUUGCCACAGUAUUUUAUCAGUUAAUUGCAUUCUUGGAUGUGCUGGGAGUCAGCUUGCACAAGUUAAGUCCUUGAGGAAGGGGCUGCCAGUGAAAGAGCCAAGAUGGAGUUUGUCUGGUUCUCUUAGCUAAGGGAGAAACAAGGCCAGGUGAAUAAGGAAAAAACAAGGUUGGGUAUUACAAUAUAUCUUUAUGUGUAUAUAUACACUUAUAUACGUGUAUAUGUGUGUAUAUAUGCAUAUUUGUGUGUAUGUGUAUUUUAACAUAUAUUUAUUUACCACAUAUAUAUUUAAAAGCAUAUAUUUAUGCUUAUUUUCUCUCCCAGGAACUUGGUUUUUUUAUACAUACAUAUAUAUAUAUAUAUACACAUACACACACAUAAACACACACAUGUACACACACAUAUAUGUACAUAUACACACAUAUAUGUAUUCAAGUACAUAUAUAUAUACACACACUUAUGUUUCAUGUGCAUCUGUGUGAAGAGACCACCCAACAGGCUUUGUGUGAGCAACAAAGCUUUUAAUCACCCGGGUGCAGGCGGGCCGAGUCCAAAAAGAGUCAGCAAAGGGAGAUAAGGGUGGGGCCAUUUUACAGGAUUUGGGUAGAUAAAGGAAAAUUACAGUCAAAGGGGGGUUCUCUGGCGGGCAGAGUGGGGGUCACAAGGUGCUCAGUAGGGGAGCUUUUGAGCCAGGAUCAGCCCAGGAGAAGGAAUUUCACAAGACAAUGUCAUCCAUCAGUUAAGGCAGGAACAGGCCAUUUUCACUUCUUUUGUGGUGGAAUGUCAUCAGUUAAGGCAGGAAGUGGCCAUCUGGAUUUGUACGUGCAGGUCACAGGGGAUAUGAAGGCUUAGCUUGGGCUCAGAGGCCUGACAUUCCUGUCUUCUUAUAUUAAUAAGAAAAAUAAAAUGAAAGUGGUAAAGUGUUGGGACAUUGAAAAUUUUUGGGGGUGGUAUGGAGAGAUAAUGGGCGAUGUUUCUCAGGGCUGCUUCGAGCGGGAUUAGGGGUGGUAUGGGAACCUAGAGUGGGAGAGAUUAAGCUGAAGGAAGAUUUUGUGGUAAGGGGUGAUAUUGUGGGGUUGUUAGAAGAAACAUUUGUCAUGUAGAUACGGUUUUGUAUGAAUUGAAAAACUAAAUGGAAUAAGAGAAGGAGAAAAACAGGUAUAAAAGGUCUAAGAAUUGGGAGGACCUAGGGCAUCUGAUUAGAGAGUGCCUAAGGAGAUUCAGCAUAGUCCUGCCAGCAAAGAUUAUUUAUUUACUUCAAGAGUUUAGAGUAGCAAUUUGGGGAUAGCACCAGGAGAUAUCAGCUGUGAUGGCUUGGAGAAACAGUGUAAACUGGCAGUGUAAACAAGAGCAGGGCAUGUAUGAGUAGUUGAGAACGGUGAAUAGGAGUAUGACUAGAUAGAAGAUAGUAGGGAUGACAAGUUUUUUGGGGGCACACUCUAAGUUGGUCUGGUGUCUGGAAUGAUACUGGGACCUAAUAAAAAGGAGCGUCUAUACAGGAGCUCAAAUGGGCUGUACCUUGUAGCAUUCUGAGGACAGGUCUGACUUCUGAGAAGGGAAAGUGGUAAAAGUAUUGUCCAGUCCAUUUUAAUUUGGUGGCUGAGCUUGGUCAGGUGUGUUUUCAAAAGACCUUUAGUCCGUUCUACCUUUCCUGAAGACUGAGGACUGUAAGGGAUAUAAAGGUUUCACUGAAUACUAAGCCUGAAAAACUGCUUGGCUGAUUUGACUAAUAAAGGCUGGUCUGUUAUCAGACUGUAUAGAGGUGGGAAGGCUAAACUGAGGAAUUAUGUCUGACAGAGGGAAGAAAUGACUGCGGUAGCCUUCCCAGACCCUGUAGGAAAGGCCUCUACCUAUCCAGUGAAAGUGUCUACCUAGACUAAGAGGUAUUUUAGUUACCUGACUCGGGGCAUGUUGAGUAAAGCUAAUUUGCCAGUCCUGGGUGGGGGCAAAUCCUCGAGCUUAAUGUGUAGGGAAGGGAGGGGGCCUGAAUAAUCCUUGAGGAGUAGUAGAAUAGCAGAUGGAACACUGAGAAGGUAUUUCCUUGAGGAUAGAGUUCCACGAUGGAAAGGAAAUGAGAGGUUCUAAGAUGCAGGCUAGUGGCUUGUACUAUAGCAUAGCCUGCCUUUGCUGGUGUGUGAUGAUUAGGCCUGGUGGAACUGCCAUCAAUAAAUCAAACGUGAUCAGGGUGAGGAACAGGAAAGAAGGAAAUAUAGGGAAAUGGGGUGAAUGUCAGGUGGAUCAGAGAGAUACAGUCAUGGGGGUCAGGUGUGGUAUCAGGAAUAAUGUGGGAGGCCAGAUUGAAGUCCGGGCCAGGAACAAUGGUAAUUGUGAGACUUAACAAAGAGUGAGUACAGCUGAAGGAGCCAGGGAGCAGAAAGUAUAUGCAUCAGGUAUGAGGAACAAAAUAGAUUUUGGAAGUUAUGAGAAAUGUAGUGAGUGAGUUGAGCAUAGUUUGUGAUUUUUAGGGCCUCUAAAAGAUUAAAGCAGUGGCAGCCGCUGCACACAGACAUGAGGACUAGGCUAAAACAGUAAGGUCAAGUUGUUUGGACAGAAAGGCUACAGGGUGCAGUCCUGGUUCUUGUGUAAGAAUUCUGACAACACUAACCAUGCCUAGGAAGGAAAGGAGUUGUUGUUUUGUAAGGGAUUGAGGUUUGGGAGAUUAAUCAGACAUGAUCAGCAGGGAGAGCACGUGUGUUUUUAUGAGAAUUAUGCUGAGAUAGGUAACAGAUGAGGAUGAAAUUUGGGCUUGACUGAAGUAAUGGGGACUGUCUGUGAAGCCUUGCAGCAGUACAGCCCAGGUAAUUUACUGAGCCUAAUGGGUGUCAGGGUCAGUCUAAGUGAAAGAAAGGAGGGGCUAGGAUGAAGGGUGAAAAGGAAUAAUAAAGACAGCAUGUUUGAGAUCUAGAACAGAAUAAUGGGUUGUAGAGGGAGGUAUUGAGGAUAGGAGAGUAUAUGGGUUUGGCACCAUGGGGUGGAUAGGCAAAACAAUUUGGUUGAUAAGGUGCAGAUUCUGAACUAACCUGUAAGCCUUGUCUGGUUUUAGGACAAGUAAAAUGGGGGAAUGGUAAGAAGAGUUUAUAGGGUUUAAAAGGCCAUGUUGUAACAGGCGAGUGAUAACAGGCUUUAAUCCUUUCAAAGCAUGCUGUGGGAUGGGAUAUUGGCAUUGAGUUGGGUAAGAGUGAUUAGGUUUUAAUGGGAUGGUAAGGGGUGCAUGAUCGGUCGCUAAGGAGGGAGUAGAGGUGUCUUAUACUUGUGGGUUAAGGUGGGGAGAUAAAAGGGGAGGCUGUGAAGGAGGCUUUGAACUGGGGGAAAAGGUGGCAAUGAGGUGUGGCUAUAGCCCAGGAAUAGUCAGGGAAGCAGACAAUUUAGUUAAAGUGUCUCAGCCUAAUAAGGGAACUGGGCAGGUGGGGAUAACUAAAAAGGAGUGCUUAAAAGAGUAUUGUCUAAGUUGGCACCAGAGUUGGGGAGUUUUAAGAGGUUUAGAAGCCUGGCCGUCAAUACCCACAACAGUUAUGGAGGCAAGGGAAACAGGCCCUUGAAAAUAAGGUAAUGUGGAGUGAGUAGCCUCCAUAUUGAUUAAGAAGGGGACGGAUUUACCUUCCACUGUGAGAGCAUCUGUGAUGGUCCUGUAGGCUUCUGAGGUGAUCAGGCAGUGUCAGUCUUCAGCUGCUAAGCCGAGAAGAUCUGGGAAGGAGUCAGUCAGAGAGCCUUGGGCCAGAGUUCCAGGGGCUCUGGAAGUGGCUGCCAGGUGAGUUGAACAGUCUAAUUUUCAGUGGGGUCCUGCACAGAUGGGACACGGCUUAGGAGGAGUCCUGGGCUGUGGGCAUUCCUUGGCUUAGUGGGCAGAUUUCCAGCACUUGUAGCAAGCUCCUGGGGGAGGAGGUUCUGGAGGAACCCCUGGCAGCUUGCAUUUCAGGUAUUUGCAGUUCUUGUGUACUAGAGAUGUGGCUGGGGUUUGUCUCACAGUGGAGGCGAAGAAUUGCAACUCAGAAAUAUGUUGCUACUUGGCUGCCUCUACUCUAUUAUUGUACACCUUGAAGGUGAGGCUAAUUAAGUCCUGUUGUGGGAUUUGAGGGCUGGAAUUUAAUUUUUGGAGUUUUAUUUAAUGUCAGGAGCAGAUUGGGUAAUAAAAUGUAUAUUGAGAAUAAGACUGCCUUUUGACUUUUUGGGGUCUAGGGCUGUAAAGCGUCUCAGGGUUGCUGCUGAACAAGCCAUGAACUGGGCUGGGUUUUUCAUAUUUGAUGAAAGAGUCUAAAUGCUCACUGAUUUGGGAGAGGUCUGAUAAAGAAAAAGGAGCAUUAACCUUGACUAUGCCUUUAACUUCAGCCACCUUUUUAAGAGGAAAUUGCUGGGCAGGUGGGGGAGGGCUACUCACAGAAUGAAACUGUAAACCAGAUGGGUGUGAGGAAGGGAGGUGAUAAAAAGAUUAUAGGGUGGAGUAGUGGAGGCUGAGGAAGAAUUGGGACCUAGCUCGGCCUGGUGAGGAGUGGCCUGGGGAGGAGGGGAGAGGUCAGAUGGGUCUGUAGAAAAGGAAGAUUAGAAAGACUCAGCACCACUUGGGGGUUGGGACUGAGGGGACAGGCAGGAAGGAAAGAAGGAAGAUUUGGGAUGAGUUGCACUGGGCACAGAGACUAGGGAGGGACCGAUGUGUAAAAGAAUGCCUAGAGGUCAGGCAUCUCAGACCAUUUGCCUAUUUUAUGACAAGAAUUAUUUAGAUCUUCCAGGAUGGAAAAAUUGAAAGUGCCGUUUUCUGGUUAUUUGGAACCACUUUCGAGUUUGUAUUGGGGUCAAGCAGCAUUGCAGAAGAAAAUAAGGCAUUUAGGUUUUAGGUCAGGUGUGAGUUGAAGAGGUUUUAAGGUCUUGAUAGCACAGGCUAAGGGAGAUGGAGGAAUGGAGGGUGGAAGUUUGCCUAUAGUGAAGGAGGUAAGCCCAGAGAAAAGAGAGAGUAGAGACAUGGAGGGAAGGGGUUCAGGGGUUCUUACCCUCCAGAAAAGUGGGAAAGGGGUUGGGGAGCAGAAAUAAGGGGUUGAGGCACAGAGAUAAGAGGUCGGGGCAUGGAAAUAAGGGAUUGGGGUGCAGAGAUAAGAGGUCGGGGUGCAGAAAUAAGGGAUUGGGGAUUCUUGACCACUAGAAAAGCGGGACUUGCCGCUAAGGAUGAAGGAGAAGGGGUUGAUGGGGUUUUGCCCCUCUCCCAGAAAAGCAGAGAAGGGGUAGAGACACAGAGAGAAGGGGUUGGGAUACUUGCCCCUCCUCCAGAAAAGCAGGACUUGCCACUAAGGGUGAAGGACCAAGGCAGGUAUCUCUGCGUGGUCUGACACCUCUGAAACGUGGGUGAAUAAUCAGAGAGGCAUCCCUGCAAUGAUUAAACAGCAAGGGAAGGCUGCAUUCCCAGUCCAUGACCAGCGCCGGAGUUUUGGUCCACGGAUAAAACGUAUCUCCUUUGUCUCUAUCAGAAAAUGAAAGGAAUUGAAAUUAAGAGAAGGGAGAGACUGAAGUGUGGCAUCAAGAUUGAAAGGAGAAAGAGGUUGAGAGAUAGUGAGGGAGGUUGGAGAAGAGAGUAAAAGGAGGCCGCUUACAGGAUUUGAAAUUGGUGAGAUGCUUUUUGGGCUGGUCGGUCUGAGGACCUGAGGUCAUAGGUGGAUCUUUCUCAUGGAGCAAAGAAGAGGAGGACAGGGAAUUUAUCUCCCAAGGGAGGUCCCGCGAUCCGAGUCAUGGCACCAAAUUUCAUGCGCGCCCAUGUGAAGAGACCACCAAACAGGCUUUGUGUGAGCAAUAAAGCUUUUAAUCACCUGGGUGCAGGCGGGAUGAGUCCAAAAAGAGAGUCAGUGAAGGGAGGUAAGGGUGGGGCCAUUUUAUAGGAUUUGGGUAGAUAAAGAAAAAUUACAGUCAAAGGGGGGUUGUUCUCUGGCGGGCAGAGUGGGGGUCACAAGGUGCUCAGUAGGGGAGCUUUUGAGCCAGGAUGAGCCAGGAGAAGGAAUUUCACAAGACAAUGUCAUCAGUUAAGACAGGAACAGGCCAUUUUCACUUCUUUUGUGGUGGAAUGUCAUCAGUUAAGGCAGGAACCGGCCAUCUGGAUGUGCACGUGCAAGUCACAGGAGAUAUGAAGGCUUAGCUUGGGCUCAGAGGCCUGACAGUAUGUACAUAAACAUGUAUUUUUUAAUUAAGCUGACAUUUAACUAUUGAGCUCUUAAAAAAUUCUUUUAAAUCUCAUUAAUAUUUUGUAGCUGGUACAAACUGCUGCUGUUUCAAAAGUAAUGCAAAUAUCAAGCAGAAAGGAUUUGGCUUAGGAUCCAAACCCAGGCUGCCAUGGUGAAAAAAGGGCAGAAUCUUAGCUACUGAAUUAUAGGAUGGGCAACUGCCAUUACUCUGUCAGUUUGGCUUGGCUAGCAGAAGGUGGCCUUGUUAUUUAAAUAAAGUCCCUCAGGUAAUCAAAAUUUAUGUCUCUCUCUCUCUCUCUCUCUCUCUCUCACUGCAAGAAUUUAGCCAAUUGAGAGGCCUUGUUCCCCAUAAUUUGGAACUUUCCUUCAGAUUUGAUCAAGUCAGGUAGAAUUGAUCAAACUCAAUGAACAAAAGACAGAAACAACAAAAACAACCAGCAAAACAGAAACAAACAAAAAAAGUUGAGCAAAACAAACAAUUGCACAAUUUAUACAAUUACUGUGUGCUCUAAUUGUAAGUAGAAAUUAAGACCAGCUAGUUGUUAAUCUUAACUUUUAAUCAUUAAAGAUAAUUUCCAAGAAUAAACCCCAAUUCAGCUACUUACCUAGGAAUGGGGCCCAGGCUGAAGACUGCUCUGCACCAUCUUAGAAGCAGGAAAAAACUCAAACUUGCCUUCCCUGUUGGAAGUGAGCUGAAACUACAAGGAGUUGCCUGCUCUCUCUCCAACAUUGCAGAAGCAGGAAACCUCACCUUCCUUGUUGGAAGUGACCAAAACUCCAGAAAAGGAAUUGAACAGGAAAAUAAAACUUAGAUGUCAAAUGAACUUGGGGAGAUCAUGGAUUCUCUGGAGGCAGGAGCUCCCAGGCCUCAGAAAAUUGUUGUAUUGGUUUGAGCAAUCAAGAUAACUCAAAGUGGUGUCAAGCACUGAUACAAGAUUUGUCAAAGGUCAGGGCUACCUCCACUCAGAGUCCCUUUGUGGUCACCAAUUUAUAAACCAGAAAGUGUCUGAGACAGGUAUCAAUCAAUUUAGUUUAUUUUGCCAUGGGUAAGGAUGUGCCUUGGAGACAGAUCUGUGCCUUUAUCCAAAGAUAAUUUUGAGGGCUUCAAUAUUUAAAGGAAAGGAGCAUGCAGAAGGGGACAAAGGGAGGGUGUGGUCACAUUACUGAAUUCACAUACUGUAAGAGAAAAGGAACAGGUAGGGGAAUAGUCAAUUAUAUAUCCAUCUUGUACUCAGUAAAUCAGCAUUUUACAUAAGAUGAUGAACAUAGAGUAGCUACCUGUGAAGACAUUUAAUCCCUUAUCUAUAGGUAUCUUCCUAGGAACAGAAGGAAAGGCAGUUUAUUGCAAAACUCAGCUUUAAGCCUUAUUUUCAUUUUGGCAUAGUCAAAUGGAAUCUCGAGUUUUAAUUUUCUUUUUACAGAAGAAAAAACAAUAUCAAUGAUUAUACUUUUGCAGUAAUGUAACUAUUGGCAAUGAUUGAGUCAAAUAUAUAGCCUCACAUGUUGAUGGGGUAUAAAUUGCUAUAACCACUGUGAAACACAAUUAACCAAUGUGUCUUAGAUUUUUACAAAACAUUUACUCAUAACAUUUAAUCCACAAAUCCAUUUUUUAGGAAUCACCCUUAAGAAAAUAAUUACAGAGGUGGACCCAUAUCUGUGUAAGAUGUUCAUUAGUAAUUUUUGCCACAGUAAAAUGUAAGAAACUAUUAAAAUGUCUAUAAAAGCUAAUGGUUAAGAAAUGAUAUGUUAACUUUAUGAUGAAACACUUUGUAGUAGUAGAAGCUCUUUAUUUUUUAAGAACAUUCACUUACAUAAAAGGAUAUUCAUAAUAAAAUAUUAAACAAUGUCUGCUUAUAAUACUAUUAUAUUUUGUUAAAAUAGCAUUAGAAAACUGGAAGUCAGUACUCUGAAAACUGAGUAAUUAUUUUGUUUUUUCAUAUUUUUCAAACUUUACCUUACUUCACUCAUCAGAGAUUGCUAGUUCUGACCUAUACCAUUCUCCGUUCUUUAUAAGUACUGUAGAAUUUCUGUACUUCAGUGUUACAGAGUCUUCCAUCAAGAGACAACAUUUCCCAGCCUUAGUGUAAUCAAUUGGUCCUAGAUUCUGACCAAUAGGCAUUAGAAGAUGUUUUCCAUUGGAAAUGCAUAUAUACUCACUACCUAUUUUCCCUCACAGCUGACUGGAAGUGAAGAGCUCUAGAGACACUACCUUAGAUUUAGGAAAACUUAUAUUGAUGAUGUGAAGCCAUCCUAUUUCCUGAAUCACUUGUUUCUGAACUUUUUAAUGAGAAAGAAAUAAAUGUCUUCCUUGUUAAAGCCUCUACAUUUGGACUUUCUAUUGUAGCCUAUGCCAUGUACCAUAACUAAUAUGUUUUAUAAAGAAUAUUUUAUUACAAUAUUUUUAUAAUAAAAGAAAUCAAAUGGGUUAAAAAAACAGUUUUAUUAUAUAAAAUGCAUUACAGUAUUUAAAAGUCAUGAGCUAUCUCUAACAGACCGCCUAGCCUCUUCAUGCGCUGAUUAUAAAAUUUGGAAAGUAUUCUUCAUAUGAAGCACACACACAGACAAAAGUUUAGGAACAUGGCAGUGGGACACAAUUCUUUAUCUGCUGCAAAGUUUUUCCAUUUGACCACUACUGACCUUUUAAAAUAGAAAUUCUUUCUUGUGAGGGAUUGUCCUUUGCAUUGCAGGAUGUUUAGUGACAUUGUUGUCUCUACUCUAGAUAUCAGUAGCAUUCACCCAGUUGUGACAACAAAAAAUGUCUUCAGGUACAGCCAAAUAUCCAAUGGGAAGCAAAAUCACCCCCUAUUUAGAGCCACUGAUCUACAGUAAACUUUUACCAUGAUGAGGAAAAGAGUCAUAUAAUGAAGUCAUUGAGAUCAGUACUAUAAGAGCAUUAUUAAUAGUAAGUGCCUUGGGUAAGACAAAGUUCAGCUCUUUGACCAAACUUCAGUCAGUUUUCUUUGUAUCCUCUGAUCAUGUAGGUCUUGACCUAUGGACUUCCAUGUUUAUCUUUGCAUCCCUCUGUUUUAGCAAAAAAACAAUUUAGUUGGUUUAGCCAGGAUCCCACCCUCAAUACCUGAUCACUCCCCAUGUCUAAUCAAAUUUCUCAUACCUCAUCAUCAACAAGAUGAUAUCUCAUCAUCCUUGCCUACCUUCAGCAAAAAUCCUGUUAAGUCAACUUAGCCAGGAACCACCUUUUACCCUUGAAGUUUCUCUCAGUAAUUUUCCAUCCACUAUUUGACCCCCUCCAACUGUGUUUCUGGGCUAUGAAUCACUUUUUCAUGUGGUAUUCAGAAUUGAGCUAGAUCUAUACUGAUGUCUCUUUUCUUUUAUUGCAGUAGUUUUUGAGGUUUAUUGGUUUUUUGUUUUUUGUUUUGUUUGUUUCCACUUAACUACUGUUCAGGUCAGAUUUUUUUUGGCAGGUCCACAGAGAGCUUAUAUGUGUUGGAAGAAAUAAAAAAAUUCUGUCAACUAGAGAUUCCAGGGCAUUUGAGUUAUGACUCAAAAGACAGUGGAAUUUGGGAUAUGUAUAAUUAGUUCAAUUCCAGAUGCAUUGUGUUUUAAAUUCCUGAACAUAUUUUCCUACUCUUAACUUCUUGAAUCAUUUGUUAAAUUCCUACUGUAUGCCACACUUUCAGGUAGCCAUCCCCUGAAGGAGAGAAAUGGACCUCACUCUAGCCCAGUAGGUCCUGUGAUGUCCUAUGCAAUUCUUUUUAAUUUUGAAAAGAGAGGGACCAAAGGUCACAGGGCACUUUUACUUUAUCAUUUGUAGAGUAUAAAUGUCAGCAAUGAGGGAAAAAAGUGUCUCUCUACGUUUGAUAAUGCCUCCUAUCUGUCUUCCUUUAAUGUGGAUGUAGAGUACGUAAUGAACUUCCAUCAAUAAAGCUCUAUUUUUAUGACAGUUCAGAUUUACUGUUGUAGGCUCAUAUUACCAAAGAUGAUGUUAAGUAUUAAAAAAGAAAAGAAAACUGUUCAGACUGUGGCACCAUUUUCUCUAAGGAAGAAAAUAGUUUAAUCAUUAACAAUAUUUAUAUUAAUUAGCCUGUAAUAGUCAUCCUUUUAACCAAUAUUUUUAUAAAUAUGAGUUUGAACUACUUAGUUUAUAUUGUUUUGUGCUCAUAAUUCAUAGUGAAGAAAUAGCAUAUGUCACUAUUUUUUAAAAUUGAAUAUUUUCUUAUUUAUUAAAAUAAUUCAGUUCAAAGUAAAAUUGAAAUUCUCAG